GGCAGGAUCAGCCCCGGAGUCGGCCCGGCGGGCCGCCCAUGAGAGGGGCGCCGGCUAAAACCUCCU
rnacentral:snoRNA from 1 species